rnacentral:rRNA from 1 species
UACGGAGGGUGCAAGCGUUACUCGGAAUCAUUGGGCGUAAAGCGCACGUAGGCGGUCUCUUAAGUCUGGCGUGAAAUCCUGGGGCUCAACCUCAGAUGGCCGUUGGAAACUAAGAGACUUGAGAAUGGAAGGGGUCAGUGGAAUUCCUGGUGUAGGAGUGAAAUCCGUAGAGAUCAGGAGGAACAUUGGUGGCGAAGGCGACUGACUGGGCCAUUUCUGACGCUAAUGUGCAAAAGCGUGGGGAGCAAACAGG